rnacentral:lncRNA from 1 species
GGAGGCUCUGGAGUCCACGACGCGCGCUCUACGUCAAAUACCUGCAAGUAGAAACUAGGCGAUUCUAGUGAGAAUCGGCGAGUUUCUUAGUGAUGCUCUGGUGAGAGUGAAACUUGUGUUGUGCCUUUGAGUGUCCCCUUGGGACCCUUUUUAUAGGGUCUCGGAGGGCGUGAUCAAUGGCGGACAUCGCGCCUAUGGUCAUAUAUGGAAACAUUUAUGACGUUGGCUGACGGCGAGUAACGGUCGUAGGUCGG